rnacentral:rRNA from 1 species
AAGACAGCUGGAUGAUAGCCGGGCGUGAAGACUCUGCUUGACUAGCUGAGAGGAGGUGCAUGGCCGUCGUCAGUUCGUACUGUGAAGCAUCCUGUUAAGUCAGGCAACGAGCGAGACCCACGCCAACAGUUGCCAGCAUGUCCUCCGGGAUGAUGGGGACACUGUUGGGACCGCCUCUGCUAAAGAGGAGGAAGGAAUGGGCAACGGUAGGUCAGCAUGCCCCGAAUUAUCCGGGCUACACGCGGGCUACAAUGGUCAGGACAAUGGGUAUCGACACCGAGAGGUGGAGGCAAUCUCCUAAACCUGUCCUUAGUUCGGAUUGUGGGCUGCAACUCGCCCACAUGAAGCUGGAAUCCGUAGUGAUCGCGUUUCAAAAUAGCGCGGUGAAUAUGUCCCUGCUCCUU